GGAAAAGAAACCAACAGGGAUUGCCCCAGUAACGGCGAGUGAAGCGGCAACAGCUCAAAUUUGAAAUCUGGCCCCAGGCCCGAGUUGUAAUUUGCAGAGGAUGCUUUUGGCGCGGUGCCUUCCGAGUUCCCUGGAACGGGACGCCAUAGAGGGUGAGAGCCCCGUACGGUUGGACACCAAGCCUUUGUAAAGCUCCUUCGACGAGUCGAGUAGUUUGGGAAUGCUGCUCUAAAUGGGAGGUACAUUUCUUCUAAAGCUAAAUAUUGGCCAGAGACCGAUAGCGCACAAGUAGAGUGAUCGAAAGAUGAAAAGCACUUUGAAAAGAGGGUUAAACAGCACGUGAAAUUGUUAAAAGGGAAGCGCUUGUGACCAGACUUGCGUCCGGUGAAUCACCCAGCUCUCGCGGCUGGGGCACUUCGCCGGCACAGGCCAGCAUCAGCUUGCCGUCGGGGACAAAAGCUUCAGGAACGUGGCUCCUCUCGGGGAGUGUUAUAGCCUGUUGCACAAUACCCUUCGGCGGGCUGAGGUACGCGCUCCGCAAGGAUGCUGGCGUAAUGGUCA
rnacentral:rRNA from 1 species